rnacentral:rRNA from 1 species
UGAAUACGAGAUGCUACGGCAUCGAAGCAGUCUAUGUCAUACUUCCAAGAAAAGCUUGCACUGUCAUAAACAAAUAAUGCCUGUACCAUAACCGACACAGGUGGGUAGGUAGUGUAUACUAAGGGGCGCGAGAUAACUCUCUCUAAGGAACUCGGCAAAAUGACUCCGUAACUUCGGGAGAAGGAGUGCCUUAUUUUAUAAGGUUGCAAUAACAAGAUCCAAGCAACUGUUUACCAAAAACACAGGUCUCCGCUAAGUCAUAAGACGAUGUAUGGGGGCUGACGCCUGCCCAGUGCCAGAAGGUUAAAGAAGUUGGUUAGCAUUAGCGAAGCUGAUAACUGAAGCCCUGGUGAACGGCGGCCGUAACAAUAACGGUCCUAAGGUAGCGAAAUUCCUUGUCGGGUAAGUUCCGACCCGCACGAAAGGCGUAAUGAUUUGGAUACUGUCUCGGAGAGGGGCUCGGUGAAAUAGACUUGUCUGUGAAGAUGCGGACUACCUGCACCAGGACAGAAAGACCCUAUGAAGCUUUACUGUAACUUGAGAUUGAAAUUGGACUUUAUUUGCGCAGUAUAGGUGGGAGACGUUGAAAAUAUUCUUGCGGGAAUAUUGGAGUCAUCAGUGAGAUACCACUCUUAUAAUGUUAGAUUUCUAACUUUGUAUCAUUAUCUGGUCAAAGAACAGUCUCAGGCGGGCAGUUUGACUGGGGCGGUCGCCUCCCAAACGGUAACGGAGGCGCACAAGGGUUUCCUCUGAACGUGUAGAAAUCGUAUCUAGAGUGUAAAGGCAUAAGGAAGCUUGACUGUGAGACCUACAAGUCGAGCAGGGACGAAAGUCGGUCUUAGUGAUCUGACGGUGCUGAGUGGAAAGGCCGUCACUCAACGGAUAAAAGUUACUCUAGGAUAACAGGCUGAUCUCCCCCAAGAGUUCACAUCGACGGGGAGGUUUGGCACCUUGAUGUCGGCUCAUCGCAUCCUGGGGCGGUAGUACGUCCCAAGGGUUGGGCUGUUCGCCCAUGAAAGCGGUACGCGAGCUGGGUUCAGAACGUCGUGAGACAGUUCGGUCCAUAUCCGGUGUAGGCGUUAGAAUAUUGAGAGGAGCCUUCUUUAGUACGAGAGGACCGAGAAGGACAUACCUCUGGUGUACCAGUUAUCGUGCCAACGGUAAACGCUGGGUAGCUAUGUAUGGAGAGGAUAACCGCUGAAAGCAUCUAAGUGGGAAGCCCACCUCAAGAUAAG